rnacentral:tRNA from 1 species
UUGGUGCUGAUCCAAUAAAUUGGGCUGAGUUGAUGUCUUAGAUUAAGGGGAUUUUUAUAUCCCUCAGUGCCUAA